rnacentral:rRNA from 1 species
GUGAGGGAGGAGGCUCUUGGGUUGUAAACCUCUUUUCUCAGGGAAGAAGCUCUGACGGUACCUGAGGAAUCAGCCUCGGCUAACUCCGUGCCAGCAGCCGCGGUAAUACGGAGGAGGCAAGCGUUAUCCGGAAUUAUUGGGCGUAAAGCGUCCGCAGGUGGCGAUUCAAGUCUGCUGUCAAAGCACGGGGCUUAACUCCGUUAAGGCAGUGGAAACUGAAUGGCUAGAGUGCCGUAGGGGUAGAGGGAAUUCCCGGUGUAGCGGUGAAAUGCGUAGAGAUCGGGAAGAACAUCGGUGGCGAAAGCGCUCUACUGGACGGCAACUGACACUCAGGGACGAAAGCUAGGGGAGCGAAUGGGAUUAGAUACCUCAGUAGUCAAAUGCCGUUCCCACUGUCAACGAUCUUGUUGUUCUUCACC